rnacentral:rRNA from 1 species
UACGUAGGGGGCAAGCGUUGUCCGGAAUUAUUGGGCGUAAAGGGCUCGUAGGCGGUUUGUCGCGUCGGGAGUGAAAACACUGGGCUUAACUCAGUGCUUGCUUCCGAUACGGGCAGACUAGAGUGCGAUAGGGGAGACUGGAAUUCCUGGUGUAGCGGUGAAAUGCGCAGAUAUCAGGAAGAACACCGGUGGCGAAGGCGGCUCUCUGGGCCUUACCUGACGCUGAGGAGCGAAAGCGUGGGGAGCGAACAGG